UAGAGUUUGAUCAUGGCUCAGAUUGAACGCUGGCGGCAGGCCUAACACAUGCAAGUCGAGCGGUAACAGGAAUUAGCUUGCUAAUUCGCUGACGAGCGGCGGACGGGUGAGUAAUGCCUGGGAAUAUGCCUUAGUGUGGGGGAUAACUAUUGGAAACGAUAGCUAAUAUCGCAUAAUGUCUUCGGACCAAAGAGGGGGACCUUCGGGCCUCUCGCGCUAAGGUUAGCCCAGGUGAGAUUAGCUUGUUGGUGAGGUAAGAGCUCACCAAGGCGACGAUCUCUAGCUGGUCUGAGAGGAUGAUCAGCCACACUGGAACUGAGACACGGUCCAGACUCCUACGGGAGGCAGCAGUGGGGAAUAUUGCACAAUGGGCGCAAGCCUGAUGCAGCCAUGCCGCGUGUAUGAAGAAGGCCUUCGGGUUGUAAAGUACUUUCAGUGGGGAGGAAGGUGUUGUCGUUAAUAGCGGCCGCAUUUGACGUUACCCACAGAAGAAGCACCGGCUAACUCCGUGCCAGCAGCCGCGGUAAUACGGAGGGUGCGAGCGUUAAUCGGAAUUACUGGGCGUAAAGCGCAUGCAGGUGGUUCAUUAAGUCAGAUGUGAAAGCCCGGGGCUCAACCUCGGAACCGCAUUUGAAACUGGUGAACUAGAGUGCUGUAGAGGGGGGUAGAAUUUCAAUCCCUGCGGCCCCAUGGCCGGGGCGCCGG
rnacentral:rRNA from 1 species